AGAGUUUGAUUAUGGCUCAGGAUGAACGCUAGCUACAGGCUUAACACAUGCAAGUCGAGGGGCAGCAGGACGAUAGCUUGCUAUGUCGCUGGCGACCGGCGCACGGGUGAGUAACGCGUAUCCAACCUUCCCCUUAGUAGAGGAUAGCCCGGCGAAAGUCGGAUUAAUACUCUAUGUUGUAUUUUUGAGGACAUCUGACGAAUACCAAAGGUUCACCGCUAAGGGAUGGGGAUGCGUCUGAUUAGCUUGUUGGCGGGGUAACGGCCCACCAAGGCGACGAUCAGUAGGGGUUCUGAGAGGAAGGUCCCCCACAUUGGUACUGAGACACGGACCAAACUCCUACGGGAGGCAGCAGUGAGGAAUAUUGGUCAAUGGGCGAGAGCCUGAACCAGCCAAGUAGCGUGCAAGGAAGACUGCCCUAUGGGUUGUAAACUGCUUUUAUCAGGGAAUAAAGUGCGGCACGUGUGCUGUUUUGUAUGUACCUGAUGAAUAAGGACCGGCUAAUUCCGUGCCAGCCGCCGC
rnacentral:rRNA from 1 species